rnacentral:rRNA from 1 species
GACGAGCCACACAAACGUUAUUCGGAAUUACUGGGCUUAAAGGGUGCGUAGGCGGCGCGGUAAGUCGGGUGUGAAAUCUCGGAGCUUAACUCCGAAACUGCAUUCGAUACUGCCGUGCUUUGAGGACUGGAGAGGAGACUGGAAUUUACGGUGGUAAGCGGUGAAAUGCGUAGAUAUCGUAAGGAAGACCAGUGGCGAAGGCGGGUCUCUGGACAGUUCCUGACGUGAGGCACGAAGGUCAGGGGAGCAAACGGG